UUUUUACUCCCUCCAUCCCAAAAUUCUUGUCUUAGAUUUGUUUAGAUACGGAUGUAUCAAAACAUGUUUUAGUAUUAGAUACAUAUCUAGACAAAUUUGACUUGAUACAUCCAUAUAGACAAAUUUAAGACAAAAAUUUUGGGACGGAAGGAGUACAAG
rfam:Triticum aestivum genome assembly, contig: Triticum_aestivum_CS42_TGACv1_scaffold_030620_1BL